AUGUCUGGGAAACUGCCUGAUGGAGGGGGAUAACUACUGGAAACGGUAGCUAAUACCGCAUAACGUCGCAAGACCAAANAGGGGGACCCUCGGGGCCUCUUGCCAUCGGAUGUGCCCAGAUGGGAUUAGCUUGUUGGUGGGGUAACGGGCUCACCAAGGCGACGAUCCCUAGCUGGUCUGAGAGGGUGACCGGCCACACUGGAACUGAGACACGGUCCAAACUCCUACGGGAGGCAGCAUG
rnacentral:rRNA from 1 species